CUUCAACGAGCCGAGCCAGAGCGGUCGUUCCCGGUCGCGUCCGUAGGUGGCGAGCAGGGCCUGUGCCUC
rnacentral:antisense_RNA from 1 species